rnacentral:tRNA from 1 species
GCUCUCGUAGUUUAAUGGAUAAAAUGCUGGUUUGCGGUACCAGCGCUUCAGGUUCGAUUCCUGGCGAGAGCACCA